rnacentral:rRNA from 1 species
CAGUAGCCGCGGUAAUACAGAGGGUGCGAGCGUUAAUCGGAAUUACUGGGCGUAAAGCGCACGCAGGCGGUCUGUCAAGUCAGAUGUGAAAUCCCCGGGCUUAACCUGGGAACUGCAUUUGAAACUGGCAGGCUAGAGUCUUGUAGAGGGGGGUAGAAUUCCAGGUGUAGCGGUGAAAUGCGUAGAGAUCUGGAGGAAUACCGGUGGCGAAGGCGGCCCCCUGGACAAAGACUGACGCUCAGGUGCGAAAGCGUGGGGAGCAAACAGGAUUAGAGACCCGAGUAGUCCCUGUCUCUUAUAC